GGGGAUGGAACCUGCCACCCAGGUAGGUGCCCUUGGCCAGGUCUCGGACCCCGACCUUCCAGUCCUCAAGCUGACGCUCUAUCCGCUGAGCCACACGGGCCAGGGCUACUUCACCUUUUAUUUUCUGCUUUUCGUUGUCUCCCCUCCCCCAGCCCUGUCAUACGUUUUCCUUUGGUUGGAGAUGAACCUCCUCCCCGCCCCCAAUGAAGACACAGGCUGGCUGACGGCACCCCCAUUUGCCCACAGGUGACAGGUGUCCACGGUAUGAACACCGGCCUGGGGCCAUCUCAGAGCUUCCCUCCCGCGUGGCCCGCAGGUGCCUCGCAUGUGGUGUCGCUCCUAUUCACCGUCCCCGCUGUGGCGCUCGCACCCGGCCACAUCUGGCCACAUCUGGCUGGUGUCGGCACGCGAGGGGUGACUGGUGGUGGUGAGCGAGCCAGACCCUCUAGGAGACGCAGACGGAGAGUGAUCGCAUUAGGGCGCUAAUGACUGUGAAACCUGGUUGACAGCGAAUUGUCCUCCGUGGGCAGACGGCCUGAUCGCAGUCAUCACGGUGCAUCACACGGGAUCUCGGCUCUGAGUCGGCGUGCCGCCCCCGUCCUCUGUUCCAGCUCCUUCUUUGUAUCGACACAUGACUACGUUCUCACACUCACCACGUGGUGAUCGCAGGGGACGGAGGAGAGCUCGCCUACCAGCAUUUCUCAGCAGGACGCGCAGAUAACAGCGGUGCUUGUCCAUCCCUUGGGAGUUUGCCUUAGCCUUGCCCGGGCCUUGUAAAUGGUCCCUUUUGAAGACUUUCUUUAUUCCUCCCUUUUGACUAUGUACUAGUGUACCAUCCGCUUCCUGCUGGGUAUCGGCCACGUGUAAGAAGUUGGGGAAACUCCUUAGCAAGGCAGUAAGGGCCCGUAUCGAGGCACUGUCUGACCUCCUGUCCUGACUUCGCCCCUAUGUUGGCAGAACCUGAAUCUCAUCCAAGGGGAGCGAGUCCCUACUUCUCGCACCUGUUCCCACUGUGUGCUCCGGUGCUUUCCCACGGGCGGCCUGCCGGGGAGUGGUCAGCGGCCGGCGCCACACGAGCCCUGACGUGCAGUGCCUGCCAAUGCCUGUGGUGUAAACACACCCGCCAUGACACCUCCAUGCGCCUAAAAUGUCUCAGAACUUGGAAUUGGGAAGAAAAGCACACCGUUGGCCAGUGACCCCUCCCAACCCUGUCCACCCCCACCCUCUGCCAGGGCCGGACCCAGAACUGCCGCUCUGCAAAGGAUUCCAACUCUUUCCCGUUGCUCCUGUGGGCAUUUGGAACGGUUUUGAAUGACCAGCCACACGUUGGUGGUAAUAUUUCCGAACCCAGGGCUUCUCGCCAAUUAGAUGUUUGAGGCUUAGAAGCCCUGAAGCAAAAAUCAGCUACCUGCCUGUGUCUCCAGCCACAUCGCCAAAGCUUCCUGCUUCAAGUUGCUUCAUUUCCCAAGAAAAUGAUUCUCACCCGCUGGUCCUAUUUCCAGAUUGCGUCCUCAGGAUCCUCAUCCACACGUGACUGGAAGCAUCGACUGCUCUCGGUUAUAAGCAUCUGAACAGAGAAAACGUUCAAGCCCUGCUAAGCGAUGCCUUCCAUUUCACUUUAUGAAACAGAUGAGCCCAGUAUGUCAAGUUCAGAAAGUCACCACGGCGGCCAUGGGGAAGCUGGGACGUCCGGGAAUAAAGGCGAGCGUGCACCGGCAUCGGGCUAUUUCCUGAUGUCACGGUUAUGGGUGACGACAGGGGUGUUCCAUUAAAGUUAUUCUUGUUGCUCUUAA